ensembl:snoRNA SNORA75 Small nucleolar RNA SNORA75
ACCUUCUCAUGAGCUCCUCUUAAUCCAACCCAUGAUUAUGCAUGGAUUCGCACGAGAAGCAGAGCCACUGCUCAGUCAGAACAGGCUCACCCUGCUUUCAUGUGGAUGAUGCUUAUGUCUGCUGUGCAACAUGU